UACUGUAGGGAAAAACAGCUGUCAUGGCUUAUCUAUCAGGCAAUGAAUGUGUUUGGGGUGGAAAGUUGAGGUCUGUUGCUUGUACUGAUGGCACAGUUACAGCCUGGAAUGUGCCAGAGGUGAGAAAAUCCAUGAACUUCAUUUUUGAGGGAAAAUAAAAAUAUGUGGACUUCAGGCCCAAAACUGCCCUACUGUAAGUAUGCCCUCUAGUUCUUGUGUUAGUUUUUUGUUCUUGUUCAUUGGUUUUACAGACUCCUACUCCACUUUGUAAACAACUGUUGUGCUCUAUCUGCUGAAGGCUAGCCUGCUCAGUAUUUCACAUGCUGAACCCUUUCCAACUCAGACAUAGUAAACUCUGCUUGAAACACGGAAUUGUUGUAUGGAAGUAUGCAAAGGUACCAGUCAGUCAGGUUUUCUAUGUUUUCAUAUAAUUAAAAACUAUCUUGUGCAGAAAUCUCCAGCUAUUUGGGUUGCUGAUCACUUUUUUUAAAAGCCUAGUUUAAACCACUGCAGGAAAAAAAAAAAAAAGGCACAUCAAGGAUCUACAAAUAUUUUAUUGCUCCCUGAUCUGUCUGAAAAUAACAAAAGGAACAAAGAAAUGUGGCAAUUCUAAGACAAUUCACUUCUGCUAUUGAAGGCUAUUUGCAACUGAGAGGUCUAGUAGUCAUCUAUCCAAUCCACCCAAUUUGUACUGAAUGUAAGAGUAGCAUUUGAUUAUUUUCCCUUGCUGAUUUUGAUGGAGGGAACUCUGGAUUGUAGAGGGACUAUGCAAUGAUCAACCACGUACUGCUGUUCAUUAUCAGAUUUGCUGAUUAGCACUUUAGACGGUUUUAUUUUUUAUUUUUGGAGGUUAGUUCCUGAACAUUGUUGUCUAGGGUAGUUGCCCUAAAACCUCUAAAUAUUAUUCAAGAGCAGCUUAUUUGUCACUACUGUCACAGUUGCAUAUAAAUGCAGUCUUAAAAUGCCUGGGACGUUCUUCUGAGAGUCGGCAUUGAAACGAACUGGCAGAGAAAGGUAGAAAACUUUGUGUACAGCUGUGCAAGAUGUAGAUCCAGAAAUGGGUUAUGGAUUUCCUGGGACCACGGUGCUUCUCCAAAACACGAAGGAAAAGGAAUGUGAGGAAGAUUGGUGAAGGAAUUUUGGUUUCUGUGUUUUAAGAGAAGUUGACUGGAAAAUUGUAUUGCCCUGACCCGAAGCACAACAAUCUGCAGCCACUGGAUGAGAUCUGAAGGGCAAGCAAUACAAAGGAUAUUUUUACUUUAACAAGGUAAUCUUUGGAAGGAACGACUUGGCUGUGUGUCAGAAAUGCAGAAACACAAUGGAGCACGCUGAGUCACGGUAAUCCAGGGGGAUGUAGGUCCAACCAGAGAAAAUGCAAAUUAGAAAACAAGUUGUGUUUGGGUGUUUUUUUGAGUAAAAUCUUCAAUGCACACAUGAGGAGUAAUUUUUGAAGUGUUUCUGAGAAUUUCACAUAGCCUAAUUCACUUUGAUGUGAACAAACCAUACUGUAAUAAUUAACUCUGUCACUAACGGGCACCUUACUGUUUGUGACCAGGGUGAGCAGUGGCAGUCAGGCUCCUCGCAGGCAGUACCGCAUCCGAAACCACCGCAGCCCCAGCACAGGCUCACGACGGCUGCCUGCGGAGCCUGGCAGGGGCAAUCUGGGCAACAGCUCGCUGCUUUUCCACGUCACUGCUUUCACACUGCUGAGCUACUCACUCAGUAAACAAGGAGCCUCUCCUAUCUGCAGCUUCUGCGGGAGGAACCACUUAUGCACUGAAGAUUCCAGAUGUGAAUCAGGCGUCGUGUGUGACAGCAUUUCAGGAUGCCAGGAUUUACUGCCCACUGUUUCACCUAGCAGUUUGUUGUAGCUGUUGGGACUACUGCGAUGACAGAUACCUCUCCAAGGACACCUUAUUAAAGGGAGCAGGACGUACAUGGCAAUGUAUGAAGAGAUGCUGCACUACCUGCCUGUACCUGUUGAGGAGUCCAGCCUGCUGGUUACCAAGAGACAGCAAGAGCAGCCUUUUGGAAGAAGGACGGCGUGGCAUUUCAAAUGACCACCACAUUGGAUCUGGCAAUCCAGCAGUCAAAACCAUGGAAAUUCUAAGUGUGUGUUCCUAACAUCUUGCUGUCAAAUGUAUAUAGAGAGAAGCUUUUCUUUGCAUCUGUUCCCUCUGGUUGGAAGGACGCUGGACACAAAAGCACAAAGGGAAACUAAUGGUUAAGAAUGCAGAACCCUUUGCCAACCAGAGAAACUCCAGCAGAGAACACCUCUUGAGCUAUGGUAAAACUAUUGUAUGUACCUAGGGUGGAGCUCUAUUAUCUUCUGCGUAGUGUAAAGCAUAGAAAAGACAAACAGCAAUUCUUGUGACAUUAUUUUUAAUCAGGUGUCUGCCACAAUCCUGGAUCUGAGUAAGGCAGCACAGUUGAGAGAAUUUUCAAUGCAUAAAGCUAAAAGGUUGUGAGCAUGGCACCAAGUGCUCAGUCCCAUUUAGAAACAUGAAUGUUUGCUAGUCCUGUUUUCUCUUACAGUAAAAUCUCAGCAGGUCUCAGGUUUCAUACCAUCAGGAAGAUUUGAAAGCACACCUUCCUGCAUGGAAGGGCACAGAACAGAAAUAAUUCCCCUGGGAUGUGGAUCAGCACUGAAGCAGUAUUCUAUUUUCAGAGCUCUACUGGAAUGUUUCCAAGACCACCAUGACACAACUACUUCAGUAUGGGUGGUAAACAUGUCUCUACUGCAAACGUUUCUGCACUGUUUGCUGUGCAUUCUUUAACAACUGUUGCUUUAGUGGAUGGAUUCUCUCUGCUGCCACCUCAUCCCUGGACCCCUCUCUGAAUAUACACAUGGAAAAAAGCAAACAAUGUGCUUUGCUGAACAGAUACCAUUUACUAGGUGGAGCCUGCAGAUAGUCAAGAACUGCAAGUAAUCCAUGACUGAGAGCGUGUUUUAUUGGGAGUGCCUGUACCUGCUGAGAAACCACCAGCUUUUAAGGGAGUAGUGAGCCGAUCUUGGAAACUUCAGUUUUUCAACUUAAAAUCCAUGAAGUCACGGGAAAGUUGCCUGUUUGUAAGUACACAGUACUAGUACUUCAACUCCAUGUUAAGAAGUGUGUAACACCUCUGUCCUAACUGUAAGGGAAUUAGAUCGUACUCCUGGAGUUUUCUUCCAAACACGGCCUUUUCUUUGUAGGCUAUCACAACACACUAAUGUUGCUAAAAUGGAAUCCUGAAAUGCAGCGUCUCCCCAUACGGAAUUCCAGCUAGCAGUACUAUGCUUGAGUUCAGUACCAACUAUGCUGAUACACCAAUUUCAUUAAACCUCAAUAUGCUUAGAGGUCACUUCUCUUCACAUGCCAAAGCUGCAGAGGUUAGGAUGGAGCCAAAAUGGUCCUGGUGUUAUAAUAAAGCCCUAAGAAAGGCAGCAGGUUGUAUAGUUACCUCCUUGUGAGCAAAAUCCCUGCCCUAAAACUAUGCAACCUACUACCUCUUCCUAGGAGCCCAAUGCUUCCUUUUUGCAGUUCUUCAUACUUCGCAGCUCUUUGCGAAGUCACCUUAGCUCACCGGCUGCUUUUGGCCUCCUGCAUUUUUAGGCCAGGGCGUGUCCUGUAAGCUCGCACUGUUCAGUGAGUGGUUAACCAGUUCACCGCUCCUGGCUUAAAUACUCCUGAAUGGCUCCAUUUUCUCUCUUACUAUGCUAGAUUUUCAGUCCCAAAAAGCAUUUUUGUGCUUUUUCUCUUGUUGCUAGAGCAAGAUGCUAGCUGCUCACUCUACUGCAGAAGCAGCUAGACUUGAGUACACCUAAGACUUAAGAGGGAAAAAAGAACAAAGUAAGCUUUAAAUCUCUUUUGUAAAAACAUAACCACUUCAGAGAAAAAUUACAAUUCUGGAUCUUGGGCGCCCAAACGUCAUAGCUUUACACUCCCAAACAGUUCAGGGGUGAGUUUUGGCCGUUCAACACUUUAAUCUUUGUAUUACAUUGUUUAAGUCUCACUUGCUAGAAGAGCUAGAGAAAAAUAAACAGACAUAUUAAUAAAGUAUAACUGUAAGUUUUCCUUCCAACAUCUACUAAACAACUGAAGUAGUGGAACUUUAAUGCAUUACAGGAAUUGGGGUCUCAAAACAGUUUAAGUCACAGUGUACGUGCCUGAAUCACCAGAAUUUUUAAACACACCAAACUGUUUCAGAGUAAUUUCUGGUCUAUGGGGUAUUCCACUCCAUAGCUAGUAACAGACAUUUUCGAUAUCCAGUCAGCACUGUGCCACUCACCUUGGAAGAAAUGUCACAGCAGUCGAAUACCAUUUAGGGUUUGCACCAUCCACACUGAUUGUUAAUCAGUGACAUAAUUUACAGGAUUAAUUUCAUACUUUACAACCCUAAACUUAUCUGACAAAAAUAUUUUUACUCACUCGAUGUGGAAAUGAAUGACUGCAAAGGACCGCAGUUUGUUUUACUCCUCAGGGAAGGCAAUAGAUUGUAUAGUUAUCUCCUGAACAGGGUAAAAUAACUACCCUACAACUAUACAAUCUACUACCUCACUCCGACAGAGAACCGUGUACUUAAGAUCUUUGCUGAAGUAGCUAACCAUAGCUCAUUCUGAAGAGUGUUAAUAUGUGAUGCUUCGUGUAGCAAUGUGAAAGAACACAACUUAUCAGAACAUCAAUCAUUUGUAGUUGAUUGCCCAACCUUAAAGGAAUCAAUCUAUUUUUAUUAUUAUUCUUUAGAGAAGAAAAAUGAAUAUAGAAUGACAACCUUGAUUUUUCUAAGAACUACAGAAAUCUAAAUGCAAUUACCUGUAGGUGCUGCAGAAACAUUUCUCUCCUAUAAAGAACAUUCCAAGUAUAGAAGUUCAGUAGAAUCUGACAUUGAACUUUAAAAGUGAAGUGUUUCCACUGUUGACUUUCUGCCACUUUAGGAAAGACAGUAGAUUGUAUAGUUAUCUCCCAGUUGUGGGUAUGACCCUAAAACUAUACAACCUACUACCUCAUCCCACAGUGCAGGCAUCUUCGGAGGUGACGUCGAAAGAUCGGCUUUAAAAGAGACAAGUUAAGCCAGCUGCAGACAGCACUUACAAUGGACAAUACCGGUUACAGAAAAAACAUUCCUCUUUCUCCCCAGUCAUGCAACAAAGUUAUUUUAAAUCUAAAUUCCUUAGUUCCAAAAUUUUACCAUUUGGUCUUAAUAUAUUUAAACUCUAGACACUUAGCAAGCUGUAGUAGGUACAGCAACUACAGUCAUCAAACCUUUCUGUUACAGGAAAAGUACCAUUAGCAUUCCACAGAUGUAACCUCUCAGCUGAAAUUAGAAAACAAUGCCUAUCAGAAACAUCACACACAGACCUAAAUUUCUUCUUCUUUAGAACUUUAAAGUAAUAAAAUCUAGGGCCAUUAAUAGCUCAAAGAAAAUCACGUACUUUCUAAAACAGUAUUUUAUGGCUUUUCUGGUAGUCUGAAAUGGCAAACAGUUCUGUGCACACGGAUUCUUUUAUUAUAAACAAAACUUAUUUAGGCCCAUACUCUGACACUUAAUUGUUAAACUGCCUUACCAAAAGGCCACUUAAAAUAUACUUUUUUUUUGCAUCAGAAACAAAUGCAUUUUCUCAUUGCCCCCAACAGAACCUUAAAGCCAGUAUCUCCAUUACCAUAGCUCAACAUGACCUUGAAGUAAAAAUCUUAAAAUAUUGAAAUAAAAAUACUUGCCAGACUGAUGUGUGACUUACAAUCCCCUUCUUAGCAAGGACAUCUUGAGAACAGAGCUGAAGAGGAAAACUGAUCAUUUUGUCAGUGUAACUUAUAAGAUUGCUGAAAGUGUUUACAGAAAUGCAGGUUUUCAAACAUUAAAUACAUGUCGUACUAGUACUUCAUCCCAAUUCUAAGCUGAGGUUUUCAGACUAGUCAUCAAACAAAGCCUUGAUAGAACAAGAGCUCCUAAUGCAUGUUAAUGCCCUUGCCAAAAAACACAACGCGUGAUCCAAUGCAUUAAUAUACAAAGGGAUGACGUUAUUCCUUGAACGGAGAAAAAAAAUGAAAGUACUUUCCAACCCCCCUCAGUGCUUUACUCCAGAAAUCUUUAUACAAAUACUGAUGACAAAAUUUGGUGAAUCACUCUUAAUAUCUUGCUUGUAACUGGUUAGAAAUCCCAUUAUUUGCUUUUGUUAACUUACAUGCCUACUGGAACGUAUACUUUACCAUGCACAGAUGGACACAAGCAGUUGGUCCCCAUGUCCAAAACAAAUAAAUUAGAACAGUAGCAGUGGGACAAAGUCAAAUGGCUAUGAAGCGCUGGCACAUAUCACAUCCUUUUUGUGAGCUCAGGCAGAGGUCCUGCUGUCAAGCAAAUAUUCAAUGGAGCUGCUGGCAGUCCUUUCAUAGUUCCUUGUUCCUACACCUAAACCUUCAACUGACAAGCAAAAUUCAUGUAAAGAACCAGUUCCUAA